rnacentral:rRNA from 1 species
CAGCCGCCACGGUAAUACGAAGGGUGCAAGCGUUAAUCGGAAUUACUGGGCGUAAAGCGUGCGUAGGCGGUUUGUUAAGUCUGUUGUGAAAGCCCUGGGCUCAACCUGGGAAUUGCAGUGGAUACUGGAUCACUAGAGUGUGGUAGAGGAUAGUGGAAUUUCCGGUGUAGCAGUGAAAUGCGUAGAGAUCGGAAGGAACAUCUGUGGCGAAGGCGACUAUCUGGGCCAACACUGACACUGAGGCACGAAAGCGUGGGGAGCAAACAGGAUUAGAUACCCGCGUAGUCCCUGUCUCUUAUAA